AAUAAGUUCAUUUAUAUGUUUAUGUGUGCAAUGUUUGACCGUAUGUCUUAUUUGCUCUUUUUAUGAAUUACUAGUAUUUUUUGUUGUUAUUAGAUGAUAAGAUAUAAAUAGUACUUUAUGCAUGACUUGUUUUUUAAAAAUUUUCAGAUAAGACGGACGGUUAAAAGUUAGAUAUAGAAACCUACCAAUAAACUUAUU
rnacentral:pre_miRNA from 1 species